GAUCCUACAUUUCAUUGCAGUAAAACAUUUCUGGGUCAUAAACAUAUAUCUUGGGUUUUUUAAAGCACCAUUAUUUUUUUAUUUGGGGUUUCUAUAGAAUAUUUUGGAAACUUGAGGUUACAUGGUUACUAAAGCUUGUAUACAGGUUAAAAAAGGGGGAAAAUUUGAUUGGUUAACUUCCAGUGAUGGUUAUUUUCUUAUAUGCAAUGAAAUGUUAUGUGAAAUUUUUUCUAUAGUACUGGACAGGAUCAAACUUUACUCAUGCCAAGUAUUUCUUUAUUUGAAACAAAGAUAAAUUCUGCACAAUUUUUUGAAAAGUGCAAAUUUAACAAAGACUAAUAGGGGAAAAUCAAUGGUGGUAUUACACCUAAUAUAGGAAGCUGUACAUGCACCUUUGACCUUGUGAGUACUCUCAUGUGUUAAAAUUUCUUGCUAUUUAAGUGAAAUAUUACUAAUAAUGAAAUAUUCUGAGUGGAUUGAGUCUCCAAAACACAUUUUAUGAGAAAAUUUCCUUGAAAUAGGACUUUACCAUGAAUAUUAGUUGACAGAAUAAGCCAUACUUAGAGUUUUGGGGAGCUUUUUCUCCUUUUUUCUUAUAUUCUGCUAUACUAGAAAAAAAUUUCCUAAGAAAUACUUUAAUAAAUAUAUAGUUUUAAGUAAAUGAAAUUAUUUUUAAAGCAGUAACAACAAAUUAUUCACCAAAAGAGAAGCUUUUUAUGUCCCUCUCUGGAACGCGGCGUAAAUUUAAGUUUUACGUAAGGACUUAUUGAAACCUCCUUGGAGACAGUAAACUUUUAUACGGAUAGUUCAUUCAGCUUGAAUACUUCAAUUAAUCAUUUAUUAUAACAUUUCUAUCAUAAAUGAGUGAAAGUUACCCCAAAAUUUUUAUUUAUUGGCCUAUAAAGUAGAAAUUUUGAGGAAAUGAGAGGUAUAAAUGGACCAGAAGAGACCUUAUAAGGAAGACAAAGAGGUCCAUUGGUAGUAUUUAUCAUCCUAAAGUCAUCUUUUGUAUCAUAUUCAACUGUUUGUAGGCAGAUGAGAUAAAUAUUUGAUCAUUUAUUGGUCCACACAAUAUUCUAUCAUGAUGCGGCUUGGUUUGGAUUUUUCGAAGAAAUUUAGCUCGAAUCGCUGCAGAUGUCGUCUUACAUUAUACUAGAUUUUUCUCAAACUAUUGAACUGAUUAUGACAAAACUUGACAGGAAUGCUUGAAAUAACCAGUAUAACAAAGGAAAAAAGUCACAUUCAGUUUAUUUAACAAAAAAAGUCUUCUUUAGGUGUAAUACCACCAAAUCAUAGUACGUCACAUCCGGUUGCAUACGAAAAUAGGUCGAAAAAAAAUAUUUCCUUGAAUUUGACAGUUGUAGGUAAUUGAUUCUACAUUUCAUUGCAGUAAAACAUUUCUGGGUCAUAAACAUAUAUCUUGGGUAUUUCAAAGCACCAUUAUUUUUUUAUUUGGGGUUUCUAUAGAAUAUUUUGGAAACUUGAGGUUACAUGGUUACUAAAGCUUGUAUACAGGUUAAAAAAGGGGGAAAAUUUGAUUGGUUAACUUCCAGUGAUGGUUAUUUUCUUAUAUGCAAUGAAAUGUUAUGUGAAGUUUUUUCUAUAGUACUGGACAAGAUCAAACUUUACUCAUGCCAAGUAUUUCUUUAUUUGAAACAAAGAUAAAUGCUGCACAAUUUUUUGAAAAGUGCAAAUUUAACAAAGACUAAUAGGGGAAAAUCAAUGGUGGUAUUACACCUAAUAUAGGAAGCUGUACAUGCACCUUUGACCUUGUGAGUACUCUCAUGUGUUAAAAUUUCUUGCUAUUUAAGUGAAAUAUUACUAAUAAUGAAAUAUUCUGAGUGGAUUGAGUCUCCAAAACACAUUUUAUGAGAAAAUUUCCUUGAAAUAGGACUUUACCAUGAAUAUAAGUUGACAGAAUAAGCCAUACUUAGAGUUUUGGGGAGCUUUUUCUUCUUUUUUCUUAUAUUCUGCUAUACUAGAAAAUUUUUCCUAAGACAUACUUUAAUAAAUAUAUAGUUUUAAGUAAAUGAAAUUAUUUUUAAAGCAGUAACAACAAAUUAUUCACCAAAAGAGAAGCUUUUUAUGUCCCUCUCUGGAACGCGGCGUAAAUUUAAGUUUUACGUAAGGACUUAUUGAAACCUCCUUGGAGACAGUAAACUUUUAUACGGAUAGUUCAUUCAGCUUGAAUACUUCAAUUAAUCAUUUAUUAUAACAUUUCUAUCAUAAAUGAGUGAAAGUUACCCCAAAAUUUUUAUUUAUUGGCCUAUAAAGUAGAAAUUUUGAGGAAAUGAGAGGUAUAAAUGGACCAAAAGAGACCUUAUAAGGAAGACAAAGAGGUCCAUUGGUAGUAUUUAUCAUCCUAAAGUCAUCUUUUGUAUCAUAUUCAACUGUUUGUAGGCAGAUGAGAUAAAUAUUUGAUCAUUUAUUGGUCCACACUAUAUUCUAUCAUGAUGCGGCUUGGUUUGGAUUUUUCGAAGAAAUUUAGCUUGAAUCGCUGCAGAUGUCGUCUUACAUUAUACUAGAUUUUUCUCAAACUAUUGAACUGAUUAUGACAAAACUUGACAGGAAUGCUUGAAAUAACCAGUAUAACAAAGGAAAAAAGUCACAUUCAGUUUAUUUAACAAAAAAGUCUUCUUUAGGUGUAAUACCACCAAAUCAUAGUACGUCACAUCCGGUUGCAUACGAAAAUAGGUCGAAAAAAAAUAUUUCCUUGAAUUUGACAGUUGUAGGUAAUUGAUCCUACAUUUCAUUGCAGUAAAACAUUUCUGGGUCAUAAACAUAUAUCUUGGGUAUUUCAAAGCACCAUUAUUUUUUUAUUUGGGGUUUCUAUAGAAUAUUUUGGAAACUUGAGGUUACAUGGUUACUAAAGCUUGUAUACAGGUUAGAAAAGGGGGAAAAUUUGAUUGGUUAACUUCCAGUGAUGGUUAUUUUCUUAUAUGCAAUGAAAUGUUAUGUGAAGUUUUUUCUAUAGUACUGGACAGGAUCAAACUUUACUCAUGCCAAGUAUUUCUUUAUUUGAAACAAAGAUAAAUUCUGCACAAUUUUUUGAAAAGUGCAAAUUUAACUAAGACUAAUAGGGGAAAAUCAAUGGUGGUAUUACACCUAAUAUAGGAAGCUGUACAUGCACCUUUGACCUUGUGAGUACUCUCAUGUGUUAAAAUUUCUUGCUAUUUAAGUGAAAUAUUACUAAUAAUGAAAUAUUCUGAGUGGAUUGAGUCUCCAAAACACAUUUUAUGAGAAAAUUUCCUUGAAAUAGGACUUUACCAUGAAUAUAAGUUGACAGAAUAAGCCAUACUUAGAGUUUUGGGGAGCUUUUUCUUCUUUUUUCUUAUAUUCUGCUAUACUAGAAAAUUUUUCCUAAGACAUACUUUAAUAAAUAUAUAGUUUUAAGUAAAUGAAAUUAUUUUUAAAGCAGUAACAACAAAUUAUUCACCAAAAGAGAAGCUUUUUAUGUCCCUCUCUGGAACGCGGCGUAAAUUUAAGUUUUACGUAAGGACUUAUUGAAACCUCCUUGGAGACAGUAAACUUUUAUACGGAUAGUUCAUUCAGCUUGAAUACUUCAAUUAAUCAUUUAUUAUAACAUUUCUAUCAUAAAUGAGUGAAAGUUACCCCAAAAUUUUUAUUUAUUGGCCUAUAAAGUAGAAAUUUUGAGGAAAUGAGAGGUAUAAAUGGACCAAAAGAGACCUUAUAAGGAAGACAAAGAGGUCCAUUGGUAGUAUUUAUCAUCCUAAAGUCAUCUUUUGUAUCAUAUUCAACUGUUUGUAGGCAGAUGAGAUAAAUAUUUGAUCAUUUAUUGCUCCACACUAUAUUCUAUCAUGAUGCGGCUUGGUUUGGAUUUUUCGAAGAAAUUUAGCUCGAAUCGCUGCAGAUGUCGUCUUACAUUAUACUAGAUUUUUCUCAAACUAUUGAACUGAUUAUGACAAAACUUGACAGGAAUGCUUGAAAUAACCAGUAUAACAAAGGAAAAAAGUCACAUUCAGUUUAUUUAAC